ensembl:lncRNA
GGAAUACAUAGAGGGUCACAGACACUGAUGCCCACAUACUAGGGGCAGAUGUCUGUACAGAUUUCCACGGAAUUUUUAGUCAGAGUUGGGAAUGUGAAACAAGGCCAGGGUUUGUAAAUGGCAACAAAGAGGGAGAGACAGCGAAGUAUGCUGUAAAACGAAACUUCCAAGUUCGAAGAGCCUCUCUUCUCCUUCUACAAAGUAAGAGACCAGGCAAGUUGCUACAUCAACUUCCCAGGUCAGGUGAGGGGUCCCCCUUCUCUGCCAGGAUGGCACAACCACAGGCUGGGGAGGAAGGGCAGGGCCUCGCGGGAGGGAUCACUCACCAAGCGGCAGGACGAAGAAGAAGGGGAACCAGCAGAGCACGAAGACGCCCACGCACGAUGGCCAGCGUCUUGGCAGCCUUCUUCUCGCGGGGAGAACUUGAGGAGGCGCACUGAGAGCGAGCUGCGGAAGGUGUGGCCCUUGGUGCUCCGAGUUCCGCUGUGCGCCCGUGCCGGCACCGGUGGCUGCCUCAAGCGACAGUGGAUGCGCAGCACCACCUCCGAGGCCUUGCCCGCUCGCGCUUGAUGCCGGCCUCCAGGCUGCGCGUGGUGCUGCGCGCUACUAUGUACACGCGGCAGUACAUGACCACGAUGACCGCCAUGGGAAGGUAGAAGGAGCACAGCGAAGAGAAGACAGCGUAGCCGGCCUCCUCCGUGAUGCCACAGAAACGCUCAUCCAGGGGCACGGGCUCCUUCCAGCCCAGCAGCGGCCCCACCGACACCACGAGGGCCACGGCCCAGAGCAGCGCCAGGAUGGCGGCCGCUUGCGCUCAGUCAUGAUGGCCGGGUACUUGAGCGAGUGGCGAACGCCACGUGCACGUCCACGGAGAUGGUGCACAGGCUGAGGAUGGAGGCGGUGCAGCACAGCACGUCCACGGCUGCCCACACGUCGCAGAAGGCCCGACCGAAGGCCCAGAAGCCCAGGACCUCCAUGGUGGCAGAGAACGCAGCACGGUGGUGCUCAACAGCAGGUCGGCCACGGCCAGGUUCACAAUGAAAUAGUUGGUGACCGUCUGCAGGUGGCGGUUGCAGGCCACCGAGAGGAUGACAAGCAGAUUGCCCGCCACGGCGGUGAGGAUGAAGGCUGCCAGAAACACGCCCACGCCCACGCCCUGCGCGCUCACCACCAGCCCCCCGACGGCCGCCGUGCCGUUCACCUCGCCGCCCGCGCCCGCGGCCCCGGGUUCCCCGGCCGAGCUCCGGUUGUCCUCACUGCCGCCCGCGCCCACCACGCCGCCACCGCCGCCGCCUGCGGCCCUGGCACACCGCCCACCGCUGGGCCCUCCGAGGCCGCCGUGCCGCCCGCGCCGCUCCCGCCGCCGCCAGCCCCGGAGCCCCCGGCGCUGCCGUCCGGGCGGGGUCCCUCGAAAGUGACGCUGAGGAGGUCGCGGAAAGUCAUCUCAACGCGCAGCCGUCGGGGGCCGGGCCGGGGCGCAGGACGAGCGGCGGGCAGGGAGGGGGACAGUGGGCAUUGCUGCAGGGCUCUGGGUCCAGCCCCGCGCGCCAAUCCGUCGGGGUCUUUUCCAAGUUCUUGGGACGCGGAGCCGGCUGCCCGAGCACGGAGCUGCCAGGCCGGGCGGCCGGGGACCCUGGAGCCGGCUGAGCGCUGAACGGAAGAGCGGGGCCCCGGGCCGCGCGCCGCUCUGAGAGUUCCCGGGCGAGUGGGCAGAGCGGUGGCUCCGGGACCCGGCGGUGCCGGGUGCGGCCACUGCGGCGGCGCUCCUAACUCCGCGCGGGGGGCGGGACGGAGGAGGGGCGGCGCAGGGAGGGAGGAGGGGGCGGCCAGCGCCCAGGAAUGGGGCCGUGCUCCGCGGGAGAAGGGACUGCGUGGGCCAGCGGGGUGCCGGGGUCUGGAGGGGCUGCGGGGCUGGUGCGCGCUCGGCCCAGCGGAGGCCACUUACGCCUCGCUGCGGGCGCCUCAGACCGCCCUCUGCCCUCGCGGUGCCUUUCGCGCCCCCACCCGCUCCUCUCCUGGGCCCUCACCUCCUUUGCCCUCAGCUGCGUCCCUCUUCCGCCCGCCCUCUCCAGCCUCCGGGUCACUCGCCGGUUGCCCUUGGGCGCGCGGAGCUCAGAAGGCGCGAUUCCCAGGUCUCCCGGUUCCGGCCGCCAGAGAGCAGCAAGCGUCCGGGUUCUGCGGACUGCGGGCUGGACCGCGCAGUGCCGCGGCGGGUUGCCUCCUGAGAGUACCUGGAUGAACUAUGUACCUCCUUCCUUCUCCUAGUCCAUUGAUCGAGGCACGGUCUCAGGCACCACUGCCCAGCGCGGUGGCGAGGAGAGAGCCCCGGAAGCGGCCAGAGACCAUAACCUUGGCAGCCCUUCAUCCCAUGGACAAGUGCAACCCAGAUGUUUGGGGAGUCACAGCCCUCUAGGAGAAGCCUUUGACCAGCAGGGAUCAGAAACUGAGAGGGUCUCCGUUGACUUACCCGCCGGCCGGGACAAGUGGCGCCCAACGUGGGGCCAGAGAACGGGGGAUCCAGUGAAGGACGCUGCUCAGGGGCCCUAAGAUUAAGAUUGAGGAACAAAGAGCAUACUCGACAUAGAAGAGGCUUGCGAUUGACGUGGACCUGCCGUCUUUUUGCACCUCGUUGCAGACCUGAUUGUUCUAGGUAGAGACCAUGGAAAGAUGUACUUUGGAAAGGAACCUGAUGUCAU